AGGAUAAUAGCUCAGCGGUAGAGCACACGUUUAGCAUGCAUGAGGGCCUGGGUUCAAUCCCCAGUAAUUCCA
rnacentral:tRNA from 1 species